UACGUAGGGUGCAAGCGUUAAUCGGAAUUACUGGGCGUAAAGCGUGCGCAGGCGGUUUUGUAAGUCUGUCGUGAAAGCCCCGAGCUUAACCUGGGAAUUGCGAUGGAGACUGCAAGGCUUGAAUCUGGCAGAGGGGGGUAGAAUUCCACGUGUAGCAGUGAAAUGCGUAGAGAUGUGGAGGAACACCGAUGGCGAAGGCAGCCCCCUGGGUCAAGAUUGACGCUCAUGCACGAAAGCGUGGGGAGCAAACAGG
rnacentral:rRNA from 1 species